rnacentral:misc_RNA from 1 species
AGAGUAAAACAGUGCGUGAAAUUGUUGAAAGGGAAACGAUUAAAGUCAGUCGUACCGACGAGUAAUCAACUUUUAUGAGUGUGAUUUUGUUGAUCAUGAUGAGCCUAACGGCCUUCUAGUUUGCAAAUUUGUGUUCUUGGGGGUGUACUUGCUCGUAUGGUAAGUUAACAUCAAUUUCGUUCGUUAUAAAAUGAUUGGGGGAAUGUAGCUUUGAUCUUGUAUUGAAGUGUUAUAGACCCUGGUAGAUGUAAUGAUCGGGAUUGAGGAUUGCAACGGAUGCUCUUCGGGGCUAUUCGUCUGGCCUCUGAGGGUCACCUUAGUGUCGAAAGCUUGCUUAUGGCUUUAAGGAUGGUGUUCAAAAGGUUAGAACGGAUUAAAUUCGUUAAGGAUGUUGACGUAAUGGCUUUAAACGA